GAUGAACGCUGGCGGCGUGCCUAAUACAUGCAAGUCGAGCGAACGGACGAGAAGCUUGCUUUUCUGAUGUUAGCGGCGGACGGGUGAGUAACACGUGGAUAACCUACCUCUUAGACUGGGAUAACUUCGGGAAACCGGAGCUAAUAACGGAUAAUAUUUUGAACCGCAUGGUUCAAAAGUGAAAGACGGUCUUGCUGUCACUUAUAGAUGGAUCCGCGCUGCAUUAGCUAGUUGGUAAGGUAACGGCUUACCAAGGCAACGAUGCAUAGCCGACCUGAGAGGGUGAUCGGCCACACUGGAACUGAGACACGGUCCAGACUCCUACGGGAGGCAGCAGUAGGGAAUCUUCCGCAAUGGGCGAAAGCCUGACGGAGCAACGCCGCGUGAGUGAUGAAGGUCUUCGGAUCGUAAAACUCUGUUAUUAGGGAAGAACAUAUGUGUAAGUAACUGUGCACAUCUUGACGGUACCUAAUCAGAAAGCCACGGCUAACUACGUG
rnacentral:rRNA from 1 species